UGUGCAUUCGCUCCGUUCUUUGUCAGAUUGGAGAGGAAAGUCCGGACACCACAGGGCAGGGUUCCCCAUGAAAAUGGGGGCGCCGCAGGUUCAAGUCUCGGCGACGGCCAGUGCAACAGAAAGUAAACCGCCUCGCGUAAGCGGGGUAAGGGUGAAAGGGUGAGGUAAGAGCUCACCGCCCCAAGGGUAACCGCGGGGGCACGGUAAACCCAACCCGGUGCAAGACAAAAUAGGGGAUCAGGUGGCCCGCCCCAAGAUUCCGGGUUUGUCGCACCUCGCCUUGGCGAGGAUCCCAUCCUUCGGGUGGAAUAGAUAAAUGAAUGCUAGACGUUUGGCCCUCACGGGCCUUGCGCGAAACAGAAUCCGGCUUAUAGCUC
rnacentral:RNase_P_RNA from 1 species